rnacentral:sRNA from 1 species
GCCUCUCUAGGGAAAUGACAUCUUAAUUUAUACCUAUAGAAUCUGCCUGUUCACAGGAGUGCCUUAAACCUAAUUUGAGACAGGAGUGGUAAUAUUUGGAACUCUGAAACUAAUUUUUUUUUUUUUUUUUUUUGAGACAGAAUCUCACUUUGUUACCCAGGCUGGAGUGCAGUGGUGCAAUCUUGGCUCACUGCAACCUCUGUCUCCUGGGUUAAACGGAUUUCCCUGCCUCAGCCUCCCAAGAAGCUGAGGCAGGAGAAUCACUUGAACCCUCUGGGAGGUGGAGGUUACAGUGAGCUGAGAUCACAUGAUUACAGUCC